UGGGAUUACAUCAUGUUCCUCAGCUCCUCUCUAGAUUUAUUAAUCAUGUCUUGCACUAUGAGCACAAUCUCUGCUGUUAUCUGAGAAAUUAUUUCUGAUUUCAUUUUUUCCAGAUCCUCUUUUGUUGCCAGUUCAGGGAGUCCAGGUGGUUGAGUAUCACAGUGUUCCAUCUCCUUUCCCUUUGGGAUUUUUUAAGGUGAUCUGGACGUCUGGUUUUGAAACUUGUUUACAUGUCUUCUCAUUUCAGGGAGAGGGUGCUGCUUGCAUCUGCACAGCUCACCUCCUGUGUGCUUGCGGGGGUGGCAUUUGGCCCGGAAGCCUCCUCAUGUGCGCUGGGAGCGGAUCACCUCCUCUGGGCUGGCAGCACAGAUCUACACAUGUUUCCAAGCCACUAAGGGAAAUAGGAUUCACUCCUGUCAGCCCAGCCACGGAGAUCUCAGUGGGGCAGGAAGAAACACAGAAUUCUUCAGUGCUUCUCAAAAGCCAAUAAAUAGACUUCAUCUGAAAAACAGUUCAAAUAGGCAAAACUGCUUUUUAAAAAGUGAGUUAACAGAGUUGAGUGGUAAUAUAUUCCUAAGUAUAUUCUUUUAUGAUUUCUUUUAUGAUUGGUUAAGCCUUUUGUGCCCAUUUGCUGUUAAAGUUAUACACACUCACCUCUAGCAGAUAGUCUACAAUAAAAGGUAUGUGUUCUUGGAAAUGUGUGGAAAAAAUAGAA
ensembl:lncRNA